UCUCAUGGAUGAGCAAAGAAAACUGUUUCUUGAAAUGGAGUCUAUUCCUGGUGAAGAUGCUAUGAA
rnacentral:pre_miRNA from 1 species